GAGAAAGUGGGGUUAACGAUUAUUGAAAUUGCGUAGGAUGGCAUGCGACGCUCGCAUAAUUUCCGUACGAUUGCGUGGUUCUCGCCACGGUUUGCGUCAUCGGUGUAACGGAAAACGAAAAUGUGGUUACCGGGCUGGCGGCGGUGGCGCAGGGAAAGGACCGAUAAUGGAGAUAGAAUGCGUAUUUGAUUGGGGAAUUUUGUUGGCCGAUAUCAGGCUCGUUUCAGCUUUCAAUUCGGUUGCCACGGGAACGUGGUCGGUUUUUCAUUUUCAACCAUAUCAUUCCGGGCUACGCGCGCUGAUCCUGGCUCGAUGGAUGACAGGCAUCGACGGGCUCCGAGUGGGAAUAAUGAUAUUAUUAACCCGGCGAUCGGGAUAUCGGUUGUAUCAAACCCGUGAGUGGAGAGGUUUUUCUUUUUUUUUUUAUUCUUCUUCAAGAUUCGAGAGACGAUUGGAUCGGACGAUCGAAUGGUCGAGGGUACAAUUGGAACGGGUGUAAUUGACGUAAUUCGCGCUAUUGUUGCAGCAAAAGAUAUAACGAUGAUGUGAAUAUCGUGUUACGAGUAAUCGUGAGCUAUAGUUGAUUCGUAUGGCGCUUUGGUCUGGUUUAUUUUAACAUUUCCUUUCUUCAUACUUGCGCGUUCACGUUGUUUAUUAUUUCAGACAGAAGACGUAAUUGCAAUCUUUAAAUCGUAUAAUUCAUACGCAUAAUUCAUUUAGUAUUUCGACUAUAUUUUUUGGAAUAUUCCAACUCACUGUGUUUCCAGGUUUACACUAUGCAUCGCUUUGGAAGGAAAGCGUAGUUUCUAAUUUCAUGGAAUAUUAUCGUAAUCUACCGACACUAGAAAAUAUGUUAAAAACCAGAGUAUAUUUAUAUGGAAAAUGAAAACAUGGUGGAAAAUUUCCGUCCUCGUAAAAAUGUUUAUCGACGUUUCGUUUAAUUCUAAAUUUAGACCAAGUGUGAGGGUAAGUUUUAUAACCGUGGCCCUAAAUAGCUUUAACCUUUAAGCUGUGUUACGUUAGUCAUUAAUUACAGGCGGACUCGAUCUGCCUCGAGAAAAUAAACAGAGAAAUGGUAUUUUGUCAAGUGGAUUAUUAGACUAUUAUCAAAUACCGCGGUGAAAUAAUAAAGAUGUUUAUUCUGAAAGCAGAAAUCUACGUCUAAGGAUUAUCAGCAGGAAUAUGUUUCAUCUCGUGCAUUGGAAAUUAUCUUUUCAACCUUUCGUUCAAUUGUACAAUUUCUAGAAACGUUCUGUCUAUUUCCAGAAAUAUAUUGUUUCACGUAUCGUCAUUAUUAACGCAUAUCGUAUUGUAUUUAAUCAUUGACGAAUUUCUACAUUACAUUUGUAUUAUGUUUCAUAACGUUGUGUCGAUACCUUUGCGAAAUUUUCUCAGUAAAACCCCUUAAACUAUACCGCGCUCGUAUGCGUGUAAAUUCGAAUUGCUUAAAAUUUCCCGCGGGAAGCUUCCUCGAAAAUGCGCCACAUUAACAAACGAAAAAACACUGCACGUAAAAUGCACAAUGAAAAACGCACAGGUAAAAGAUAAUAAAGUAGAUUAAAUAUUACAAUUCUUAUUAUUGAAUCUACUUUUACCAUAUACAAAAAAAAAAAAAAAAAAAAAAGAAAAAGGAAGAAAAGGAAGAAAAAUACGUUCUUCUGUGGUACAAUGCUUUAAAUACUUGGUGACUCGGUAUUAUCGCUGGAAAUAUCGCGCUUCUAAAAUUACUCGGCGCCAGCUGUUAGUUGUUAUUAGCUGCUUUCGUAAUAUCGUGACGAUCGGUGCGCGUCGACUUAUUAAAGGGAUCGUAUUAAUUCAGUUUUUAGUCAGCCGGAGAAGAUUUCCGAGCCGGCUGCCAGAGAAGACGAGGAGGUCGACGAAGGAAAGAGAAAGGAGGGGCGCCAGCCAGGGAUCCUAAAUAUGCAAAUGAAUCGAAGAUACAACCGGGCAAGCAUGAAGACGAAAAGAUGCUCGGAAUAGCUGGUGCAACUUUCUGCGACUAGCAAUAACAUCGAGAUGGAAAUUAUUUUGCAAAUGUACAUGCGAUUGGACCAGAUGACCAGAUGAUCGGAUGGCUAGGUGAGAUUGUCUCGUCGAGCAGAUCGAUUUGUGGACGCGUGACUGGCAAUUCCCAAUAGAAGAGGAGUUAGGCGCGUAGAAGAAAUUCCUCCGCGAGCAGGCGUGCAGAAGGAAUUACUUACGGCCUUUGGAAAUGUUACUUACACUUACCGGAACCAGGCUCGUAGAUUGGCGUGCAUUCUUCGUCUUCGUCGUCGGCGGCGCAACCACUUCCGGCACCGGAAAAUAUGAGGUCGUCCAUGACGCCUGGGAAACCGGACGCCGGCGUCUGCGGUGGAAAAGAGAUAUGAAAAUUUAUUGCGUCGUACUGAAUAAAAAGUUCCGUUCGAGCGUUGGACCGUUGUUUCUGCUAAUAUGAAGGAAGAAAAUAUUAAGCAUCUAUCAUCAUGUGCAUAAUUUCCCUGACCAACGACUGCGUAAAAUAUCGUUGGAAAUUUGAUUACCUGUUGCAUCCUCUGCAACGGAGCAGCACGGUCCAGCAGACUUCCUGGAGGUAAUAACUGAACAUCUCCUCUGGUGAUA